rnacentral:rRNA from 1 species
UACGGGGGGAGCAAGCGUUGUUCGGAUUUACUGGGCGUAAAGGGCGCGUAGGCGGCCAGCACAAGUCAGUUGUGAAAUCUCCGAGCUUAACUCGGAAAGGUCAACUGAUACUGUGCGGCUAGAGUGCGGAAGGGGCAACUGGAAUUCUUGGUGUAGCGGUGAAAUGCGCAGAUAUCAGGAGGAACACCGGUGGCGAAGGCGGAUCUCUGGGCCAUUACUGACGCUGAGGAGCGAAAGCGUGGGGAGCGAACAGG